UACGGAGGGGGUUAGCGUUGUUCGGAAUUACUGGGCGUAAAGCGUACGUAGGCGGAUCAGAAAGUUGGGGGUGAAAUCCCGGGGCUCAACCCCGGAACUGCCUCCAAAACUCCUGGUCUUGAGUUCGAGAGAGGUGAGUGGAAUUCCGAGUGUAGAGGUGAAAUUCGUAGAUAUUCGGAGGAACACCAGUGGCGAAGGCGGCUCACUGGCUCGAUACGACGCGUGAGGUACGAAAGUGUGGGGAGCAAACAGGAUUAUACCCGGUAGUC
rnacentral:rRNA from 1 species